AUUGAACGCUGGCGGCAGGCCUAACACAUGCAAGUCGAACGAGUGGCAUCCGUGUCAGUACUGUCUGGGAAACUGCCUGAUGGAGGGGGAUAACUACUGGGAAGGGUAGCUAAUACCGCAUACCAUCAGAUGUGCCAAGAUGGGAUUAGCUAGUUGGUGGGGUAACGGCUCACAAAGGAGACGAUCCCUAGCUGGUCUGAGAGGAUGAACAGCCACACUGGAGUUGAGACACGGGGCAGAGGCAUACGGGAGUCAGCAGUGGGGAAUAUUGCAAAAUGGGGGAAAGCCGGAUGCAGCCAUGCCGAGUGUAUGAAGAAGGCAUGCGGGUUGUAAAGUACUUGCAGCGGGGAGGCGUUACCCGCAGAAGAAGCACCGGCUAACUCCGUGCGAGCAGCCGCGGUAAUAC
rnacentral:rRNA from 1 species